GGUCUGUCUUCAGCUACUGUAGCAGGAAUAUGUGCUGCUGUUCUGCUGCUGGUGUCUGUUGUAGCUGCUGCUGGUGGGAUUUACUAUCGCCGCAGGAGCUCCAGAAAUGCAAUAAGGAAGAAUAAAAACAAUGAAGGACUAUUGUGCAAAGAUGAGAAGGAGAAAGACUAUCCCAAAAGUGUCAUUAUAAAAUGAGAAAAAUGUGCUGCUGAAGCAAUCUUCAC